UACGAAGGGGGCUAGCGUUGCUCGGAAUCACUGGGCGUAAAGGGUGCGUAGGCGGGUCUUUAAGUCAGUGGUGAAAUCCUGGAGCUCAACUCCAGAACUGCCUUUGAUACUGAAGAUCUUGAGUUCGGGAGAGGUGAGUGGAACUGCGAGUGUAGAGGUGAAAUUCGUAGAUAUUCGGAGGAACACCAGAAGCGAAGGCGGCCGACUGGCCCGAUACUGACGCUGAGGAGCGAAAGCGUGGGGAGCAAACAGG
rnacentral:rRNA from 1 species